UCCAGCUCAAAGUAAACAAAUGCAUCAUGUGACUGGUAUGAGCCAAUGACAGAGGGGCUGGGCAGACCCAUCUGUCACUGUGCAGAUAGGCAAACAGGGACAUAACCAAGGUGCCAAGGGCUCUAUAAUAUACAAGAUUAAGAAAUGGUGUGCUGGUAUAGAGGAGGGUCCUGGGGUCCUCCAGUUUCUGGUUAGUCUCGAUACAUCAGCCAGACUCCUUCCAGCAUGUGCUACCACCAUGUCCAACCGGGAUGUGGAAGUUACAGACCCUGAGUCUUAUGCUGAUAUCUGAGAAUGCUCCAGCUUUUAUUAGUAGAUUAGUUGAGCAAACCUCAACAAAUCAGGUUUUAAAACAAAGUAAAUAAUUUUGUCCCUGUACAACCCCUUUUUAAGUCACCUUGAACAGCUAUCACAUCACUGCAGGAGCCAGUAUACACUUUUUAUCAGUCAGGCAGUAAGAACAUACAUAGUAAUAAAGUGACAACACCACAAAGAUAGGCACCAGAAACAAUUUUUUAGGUGCGAAGGCUACUUGCCAUCUAAGUUUG